UAGGUCCUAAUCCAGUAGACGGCGUUUCCCCAGAGUUUUUCGAAUUUAAAUUUUAACUUCUUAGAACAAUUUUUUUUACGAUUGGAAAGAAUCGAACUUUACCAAGAAAUAUUUUAAAAUAUUAAUAGAAAAAUAUGGAACUUUUAGUAGAAAUGCUCAGAUUUUUAAUGAUUAUACUAGUUGUAUACACCGCAGUUGGUUAUGGAAGUAAAUUUGUCUGCACUUUCACAUCGAUCGUCUAUCUCAUUUACGCUUCGAAGAAUGCGAUUCAAAGAGGAACACUACGAGAUACAAAAGUUAUACUGACAUAUUGGGUGAUAUUUGGAUUAAUUCAACUGUUUGAAAAUUUAUUUGAUGCCGUAAUGACUUGUAUUCUUUAAUAUUGGUUGAUGAAGAUGUUAUUCCUGAUCUUCUGCUUCGCUGCAGUUUCUAAUAAUCUUUCAUUAUUUCUCUAUUGAAACGUCUCGAGUGUACUGAUGACAAGUAUUUUAGAAGAGAAACGCAAUGAUUCUGAUUUGGAUAAUGAACUCGUAACAAAAUUCUCCAAAAUGAAGAUAGACAGCUGUAGAGAAGAAGAUUAUAGAGUUAAAACAAUUGUAUUUUAUGAAAACGUUACAUUUUUCCAAUUUAUUUGACGCUUAAAACGAAUAAAAUUAAUAUUAUCCAAACUAGCAAAAAUUUGGCAACUCUUCUAAGUCCAUAUUUGGUGAUUUUUUCAAUUAUUCUAUCUGGCAAACAGUGAUUUUGACAAGCUAUGUGACAUAUGGAGGAUAACUGUUUAAAUAAAUAAAUAAAUAAUAACACAAAAGUAAAAUAUAACUCGCAUUUUUGACAUUCCUAUCAUUUUUUUUCUUUUCGUUUCGUCCGGAUGUGUCAAGUUGCCAGAUUUGGCGACUUUGCGCCAAAUUUGGCUACCCUAUUUAGGCUACAUAAAUUUGGCUUGGCUACAUAUUAUCUAUCUAUAUAUAAAAAUGUGUGUGUGUGUGUGUGUCUUUCAUGCAUUACCACACCGUUUAUUCGAUUGCCGUGAAACUUUAGGAAGUUGUUAGAAGUUGUAAUUUAGGGAGGCAUUUCUUCUUUAUUUAUUAAGGUUUUUGAUUGACUUGAAAGUUUCACGUAAGUAUUUUCUCAUUUCUAUGUACAUUAGAAAAGCUUUAAAGUUAAUACAGUAGAGCAUCGAUUAUCCGAAUAACGAUCCACCGAAAAAGCCUGGACAUUUGACAAUGGCAUUUGGAACGUCAGAGGAAUCAUGCUCGACGUUCCAAACGUCAUUGUCAAACCAAAUCGUCAACCUAAUCAAUACAGCAAGACUAGGAGAUGUAAAUGAGCUGGAUAUUGAGGAGUUAUUACUGCAGGUUUGUGGCGAGAGCCUUGCCAAUGACGAUCUUCAAAAACUGACAG